GACGAACGCUGGCGGCGUGCUUAACACAUGCAAGUCGAACGGUGAAGCGCCUUCCCUUUUGGUGGGUGUGGAUGAGUGGCGAACGGGUGAGUAACACGUGAGUAACCUGCCCCCUUCUUCUGGAUAACCGCAUGAAAGUGUGGCUAAUACGGGAUAUUCUGGGUCUGUCGCAUGAUGGGUCUGGGAAAGAUAUUGUUUCGGUGGGGGAUGGGCUCGCGGCCUAUCAGCUUGUUGGUGGGGUGAUGGCCUACCAAGGCGGUGACGGGUAGCCGGCCUUGGAGGGUGGACGGUCACACUGGGACUGAGGCACGGCCCAGACUCCGACGGGAGGCAGCAGUGGGGAAUAUUGCACAGUGGGCGCAAGCCUGAUGCAGCGACGCCGCGGGAGGGAUGGAGGCCUUCGGGUUGUGAACCUCUUUCGCCAGUGAAGCAGGCCUGCCUCGUUUGUGGGUGGGUUGACGGUAGCUGGAUAAGAAGCGCCGGCUAACUACGUG
rnacentral:rRNA from 1 species